CAAACGGAAACUUUUCGUGAAGAAACGGCUGAUUUUUUUUGUGACAAUGCAUUUGUCAGAUACUCCAGUAGGAUUCUACAGACUAAAGUACAUUAUGGUGCAGCUGAUGAUGAAGGGAUGCUCUGCUCAUCAGGGAGAAGAGGAGAGGAAAAUGAAGAAGGGAUUGCGGAGGCUUUCCGCUGCGCUACUAGAAGAUCAUUACAGGGUGGAGAGAGGCUCGAGAAGAGUGUUUCAGUGAACAGUGAUUGCAUCCCGUGGGCGAGUGAGUGUUUUCCUCCCCUGUCUGAAUACCAGAAGAGCCGAGCGUCCGACGGCCAAUCCUUCAUGAGCAGCUCCUGUGGAGGCGGCGGCGUCACUCUCACUGUCUGAGGCUGGUUUCUGUCCUUCAGACAAAACUGUCUUCAUCUCUUAGUCCUUCAAUGGUCCCCGAUGUAAUACUAGUCUAUUAUUACUAUUUCUGUUGGUUUACUUAUUUGCAUGUGAAAUUCACCGUAUUUAUAUUUGUUUCCAAAAAUGAUGUCUACAUUUUAUUAAUUUGCAACAGGAAAUGCAACUGGAGGAAAGUGUGACGAGCCCUGGAGGAGUUUUUAAACUGUUAUGAGAAGAUGUUUCCAGUGAACAUCAGCAAACUGUUCAGUCUGUUUUCAUUAGUAUUAUUAUUUUAUUGUUCACAGUAUAUAUGCUGUUGCAUUAUGUGCUCU